rnacentral:rRNA from 1 species
UUAUCGGAGAGUUUGAUCCUGGCUCAGGACGAACGCUGGCGGCGUGCCUAAUACAUGCAAGUCGAGCGGACAGAUGGGAGCUUGCUCCCUGAUGUUAGCGGCGGACGGGGGAGUAACAC